UGAAGCAAUCGGAAGUGGUUCCAAGAAAAGCCUCUAAGCUUCAGUCAUACGAGACCGUACCGCAAACCGACACAGGUGGGCGAGAUGAGUAUUCUAAGGCGCUUGAGAGAACUCGGGAGAAGGAACUCGGCAAAUUGGUACCGUAACUUCGGGAAAAGGUACGCCCCGGUAGCUUGACUGGUUUACUCCAGAAGGGUGAAAGGGUUGCAAUAAACUGGUGGCUGCGACUGUUUAAUAAAAACACAGCACUCUGCAAACACGAAAGUGGACGUAUAGGGUGUGACGCCUGCCCGGUGCUGGAAGAUUAAAUGAUGGGGUGCAAGCUCUUGAUUGAAGUCCCAGUAAACGGCGGCCGUAACUAUAACGGUCCUAAGGUAGCGAAAUUCCUUGUCGGGUAAGUUCCGACCUGCACGAAUGGCGUAACGAUGGCCACACUGUCUCCUCCCGAGACUCAGCGAAGUUGAAAUGUUUGUGAUGAUGCAAUCUACCCGCGGCUAGACGGAAAGACCCCAUGAACCUUUACUGUAGCUUUGCAUUGGACUUUGAACCAAUCUGUGUAGGAUAGGUGGGAGGCUUUGAAGCGGUGACGCCAGUCAUCGUGGAGCCAUCCUUGAAAUACCACCCUGGUUUGUUUGAGGUUCUAACCUUGGUCCGUUAUCCGGAUCGGGGACAGUGCAUGGUAGGCAGUUUGACUGGGGCGGUCUCCUCCUAAAGUGUAACGGAGGAGUUCGAAGGUACGCUAGAUACGGUCGGACAUCGUGUUGAUAGUGCAAUGGCAUAAGCGUGCUUAACUGCGAGACUGACAAGUCGAGCAGGUACGAAAGUAGGACAUAGUGAUCCGGUGGUUCUGUAUGGAAGGGCCAUCGCUCAACGGAUAAAAGGUACUCUGGGGAUAACAGGCUGAUUCCUCCCAAGAGUUCAUAUCGACGGGGGAGUUUGGCACCUCGAUGUCGGCUCAUCACAUCCUGGGGCUGUAGCCGGUCCCAAGGGUAUGGCUGUUCGCCAUUUAAAGUGGUACGUGAGCUGGGUUUAAAACGUCGUGAGACAGUUUGGUCCCUAUCUGCCGUGGGCGUUGGAAAUUUGAAGGGGGCUGCUCCUAGUACGAGAGGACCGGAGUGGACAGACCUCUGGUGUACCGGUUGUCACGCCAGUGGCAUUGCCGGGUAGCUAAGUCUGGAAGAGAUAACCGCUGAAAGCAUCUAAGCGGGAAACUUGCCUUGAGAUGAGAUUUCCCAGAGCCUUGAGCUCUUUAAAGGGUCGUUCGAGACCAGGACGUUGAUAGGUCAGGUGUGGAAGUGCAGUAAUGCAUUAAGCUAACUGAUACUAAUUGCCCGUACGGCUUGUCCCUAUAACCUUAGCAGGU
rnacentral:rRNA from 1 species